GGCAUGCAGCCACUGAAUCCUACCUGCUACAACAACAAAAAGUGACUCUAAAACUAGAGUGGAAAAAUGACACUCUCUGAAAUUAGCUCAAAACAGAAGUUAAAACAAAACGAGGGCUGAGAAGCUCCCUAUCCCUUACAAUUCCCCAAAAAAGAUGUGCAAUUAAAUCACCAUGACACACGAAUGCCAACACAGAUUUAUUGACAAAGAAUCUAGCAAAGUGUGUCUGUCCCAGAGGUGCUCCAAUCGGCAGCCUCUUGAAUCUGCCUCUCCUUCCUGAUUGGUCAGGCUGACUCAGACCCUUUACCAAUCAGCAGCUGGUGACCAUAGUAUCAGCAUCCUCUUACAGUCACACAAUGCUGCGGCCAAAACACUUUGAAGCAGUGCUAUAAGUGCAACGAAACAGCAUUAACAUUGUGCUGCCAAUAUCAAUGAAUCAACAGCAAGUCCUAAAUCCUGAAUUCUGCAGUUAAACCAAUUUUCCAUAAAGAUAUAUACAGUAUAUGCAGUAGUUUUGAUGUACUAGAGUUUCAUUGCUCUCUUUACUAGAGAGCAAUGAAACUUGUUGACUUAAUUUUUCAUCACACAAUAGAGACAGACACAGAUCAGAGAGGACAGUGGCUUCAAAAAAGAAAAAUUCUUAUCCUCAUACAGCUCCUCAUUAAACUCAUGCAACAACUCCUUCACAUUUACUUUUUCAGCACUUACCUGGAGACUUCCCUGUAGGUUCAGCUGGUCUCUUUUUUACUUCAGCUCUUAAACCACCUCUCCCUGUCCUCCACAGUUUGCUUCAUAAAUCUAUCAAUGAGUCCAAUAAAAGAACAGGAGGUAAGGUUAUCAUGAAGAAAGUCAGACACCAGAGGGAGGAGUGUCAUUAUUGCAUAAAUUGUGAUGAUAAAAAUAAGUUAAUGGAUAAAUACCUUUCAAAUUUAAAGUUUGAACCUUUUUCCCCUCCCGCCUCCUCUCCUCUCCUUUCCCCUCCCGUUCCUCUCCUCUCUCCUUCCCUUGGUCUUCCUUUUCUCUCUCUGCAGGAAAAUUUUGAAAAAAAGAAAGUUCAGGUAAAUAUAAAAUACAAAGACAAACCACCAUGUAUGUGAUUCAGUUGAGAAAUAAGAAAUAGUAACAUUGAUAUGAACCUUUUUUCUGAGAGAGUUAAAAAAAUUGGCCAUCCCACCUCCUCUCCUCUCUUUUCUGUCUCUGUCAGUAAAAUUAAAUCAAAGAAAGUACAAGUACCAGAAAAAAAAAACUACAUUUGAUGGGAAUGAUAGAGGUUUGCAUCAACCAAACCAUGAUAAAGUAAACAAGUAUUCAAGUACCUCUUACAGUGACAGUUGAAAUUAUUGGCCCUCCCACCUCCUCUCCUAUCCUUUCCCUCUCCAUCCUUUCCUCUCCUCUCUCCUUCCCUUGAUUUUCAUUUUCUCUAUGCAGGAAAAUUAGAAAAAAAUAAAGUUCAGGUAAAUAUGAAAUACAAAGAUGAACCAGCAUGUAUGUGAUUCAGUGGAAAUAAGAAAGCGUAACAUUGAUAUGAACCUUUUUUUUGUUAGAGUUAAAAAACUUUGGCCCUCCUACCUCCUCUCCUCUUCUUUUCUUUCCUCUUUUUUCUGUCUCUGUUGGUAAAAUUGAAAGAAAGUAUAAGUACCAGAAAAGACUACAUGUGAUGGAAAUGAUAAAGGAUUGCAUCAACUGAACUAUGAUAAAGUAAACAAGUAUUAAUAAGUACCUUUUACAGUGACAGUUGAAAUUAUUGGCCCUCCCACCUCCUCUCCUCUCCUCCUCUACAUGGUCUUCCUUUUCUCUCUCUGCAGGAAAAUUUGGAAAAUCAGAAAGUUCAGGUAAAUAUGAAAAACAAAAGAUGAACCAGCAUUAAUGUGAAUCAGUGGAAAUAAGAAAGAGUGACAUUGAUAUGGACCUUUUUUCUGUGAGAGUUGAAAAACUUUGGCCCUCCCACCUCCUCUCCUCCUUUCUCCUCUAGGUCUUUUCUCUCCUCUUUUUCUAUAAGAAAAGCAGACGAAUAGAAAGUUAAAGUAAAAAAUGCAAAAAGAGAGAAAAACAAAAGACAUUUUAAAACAAGUGGAACAAUGAUAAACCACUAUUGUUAUGUACCUGUUCCUGUGACAGUUUAAAACCUUCUGCCCUCCCACCUCCUCUCCUUCACCUCCUCCUCUCCUCUCUUUUCUGUCUCCAUCUUUAAAGUGAAACCAAGGAAAGUAUAAGUACCAGAAAAAAAAAUAUGUGACGCAAACAACAGGAGGUUUGCAUCAACCAAAUCAUGAUGAAGUAAACCCGCAUCAAUAAGUACCUUUUAAAAUGACAAUAGAAAUCUUUGGCCCUUUUUGCUUUGUCCUUCCCUGAAAAAUAAACAGUUCAAAUCUUCACAAAAAACUCAAACAUAGGCUAAAUAUUCUGCAGUAUGUUAUAAAAUAUUAAACACUUACCUUUUAAAUAGAAUGAAUACCACUCACCUCCUUACCUCUGUUUUCCUUUGUUAUAACUCCUCGUCACCUUUGACCUCUUACCUGCUUUGGUUUCCUGAGUCCACUUUUAUGUCUUGUCUCCCCCAUCAAACUAACUAAACUAAAAACUAAUCUCCCUCUUCACAGACACACACGUUUUUUUUUUAAACUUUUGACAACUAAAACACUAAACACAGUAAAGCCACCACAAUAUUUCACCUCAAAUAACCUGAAGACCUCUUUACAAAUCAAGUUUGACUUAAAUAAGGAAAAUUCUAGAAAAUUCAUACACUAAAAGAGUGAAACUACUUACCUCUAUACUUACCUUUUGGUUAAGGAGCUGGUUUCCUCCUCCACCAGCUCUCAAACCACUCCUCUCUCACCUCUGUGUACAGUCUUACCUCUCUCGCCCACUCUGGUUCAGGGAUAUCCCACAGUGGGCAAGGCUCAGCUGGCUGGAGAGGACCCAGUCUUGGAGGAGCACUGAGCGUCUGAGCUGCCUCUGGAGGGCCCUGUCCUCAAGCAGCAGUGGCACCCAGAGAUUUCAGAUGUCUUUUUGCAAAAUUAAGCCAGGCUUUGAUGUUUUUCUUUGUAAGAUAAGGCUUUCAUCGUGCCACCCGACCCCAUAGCCCAGACAUAUGAAGACAGCGCGAGAUUGUUGUCACGUACUACACAGCCAGUACUUGCCAGAAAUUCCUGCAGCUCGUUCAGUGUUGCUGUCGGCCUCUUGGUGGCCUCUCUGACCAGUUUUCUUCUUGUCUUAUAAUCAAUUUUGGACAGACAGCCUGUUCUUGGUAAUAUCACCGUUGUGCCAUAUUUUCUCCACUUGAUGAUGACGGUCUUUACUGUGUUCCAUAGUAUAUUUAAUUCCUUGGAAAUUCUUUUGUAGCCCUCACCUGACUGACAUCUUUGAAUAAUGAGAUCCCUCUGAUGCACUCUCUCUGUGGACCAUAUCUUGUGCUGGAAGUUGGGGCUACAAAAAUGUCAGGAAAAGCCUACUAGAACAGCUGAACUUUAUUUGGGGUUGAUCAGAGGCACUUUAAUUGGUGACAGGUGUGUGCUGACUCCAAUUUAACCUGAGUUUGAAUGUUAUUGGUUAAAUCCGAACACAGCCACAUCCCCAGUCAUUAAAGGGUGUGCACACUUAUGCAACCACAUGAUCUCAGUUGUUUAUUUUUACUUCACCUCCCUGAAAGAUUUCUGUUUGUUUUUCAAUUGUGUUGUACAGGUUAUAGGUCACAUUAAAGAUGGAAGAAGUUGUGACAUUAUUUAUCUUGAUUUAAUUAUUUUACAUGACAAAAACCAAGCAGUUGAACAAGAGUGUGUGGACUUUUUAUAUCCACUGUACUUGCCCAAUAAAGCUGAUCUUAAGAUUUUAAGAUAUGUGGCCGCUCGGAGUGGCUGCAUUAUCUCCGUUUAACCAACAGGUGUCAGUCAUGUGCUGUUAUUAAGACCUGCGACUGGAUGCAUCCACAGUGCAUGCAGGUAUUAAUAUAAAGUAAAUGAAAAAUAUAUAAAAAAGAAAACCUUCACGACAUCUGGGAAUAGUGAGUGUUGCUACUUUUUAUAACAGUGUUCAAUCAAUUUGUUCUUUCGCAGGUUUUUUUUUUUUAACUUAGAAGUUAAUUAUGUAACUCAACAACUUUAAAACAGUGGAUUAAAAUAGGAUACUCUGGUAACAAGUGUUUUUGAGGCCGAAUCUCUUUGGUUGGUUUCACCCUUGUGUUUUCUGGUAGCCUUAAUUACUUUUAUUAUCUGAUUAUCGGCUACAGUAGACUGUCCGAGCAUGUGACACCUCUCUGUGGAUGGAGAGUAUUUCUCUCCAGGACAGUUACCAAAGUUUCCUCCUCCGCAGUCAGUGAAAACCCUGACAGAGUGGGAAAAGCCACAGCACAGACAAUUGCUCCUCUGUAUUGACUGAGGGAUUUACAACCCAGACAAACACAUAACAAUUUAGUAAAGCUACCGUCUGUAAGUAUCUGCAGCUUUUAUCUAUUCAGUUUAAUGCAGAUAAACGUAAUAAAUGUAUGAGUUCAGAUAUCAGCUUUUCCACUUUUAUCCUGAAUGUCAAAUUAGACUGAGGAGUUUUAUAGAUUUCUGUAAAAUCAACUCAAUUUAAAACUGCGAAAAACACCGGAAAAAGAAUGAUGUUGAGUUCAAAAUAAAAGCUAGAAUCUUUAAACUACAUAGUUAUUUUAUGACAGACUUUACAUAAAGUUCAGUUUAUUGUGUGAAAAAUAAACGAAACAAUAAGAAAGCUGUUUUAUGUUAGACUUUUUUGAUUGAGUAAAUGUUUUAGUUAUUUUAUCCCAUCUAUUGAAUAUGAACUAUUCUGACGAAAUGAGCUAAAUGACUAUUAAUGCAUCAUCACGACCCACAAAAGCAA